GCCCAAACUGUUGCAAUAGUUCGGGAUGACUUGUGGCUAGGGGUGAAAGGCCAAUCAAACUCGGAAAUAGCUGGUUCUCCGCGAAAUCUAUUUAGGUAGAGCGUCGACCGAAUACCUCAGGGGGUAGAGCACUACAUGGGCUAGGGGUCCUCACCGGAUUACCAAACCUAAGUAAACUCCGAAUACCUGAGAGUACUAGUCGGCAGACACACGGCGGGUGCUAACGUCCGUCGUGAAGAGGGAAACAACCCUGACCACCAGCUAAGGUCCCCAAGUUAUGGCUAAGUGGGAAAGGAUGUGAGGAUCCCAAAACAACCAGGAUGUUGGCUUAGAAGCAGCCAUCAUUUAAAGAAAGCGUAACAGCUCACUGGUCUAAAUAAGGGUCUUUGCGCCGAAAAUGUAACGGGGCUAAAGCCAUACACCGAAGCUGUGGGUGCAUCGCAAGAUGCGCGGUAGCGGAGCGUUCCGUAAGCCAGUGAAGGGAGACCCGCGAGGGCUCCUGGAGGUAUCGGAAGUGCGAAUGCUGACAUGAGUAACGUAAGGGGAGUGAGAGACUCCCCCGCCGAAAGUCCAAGGGUUCCUGCUUAAAGCUAAUCUGAGCAGGGUUAGCCGGCCCCUAAGUCGAGGCGGAAACGCGUAGACGAUGGGAACCACGUUAAUAUUCGUGGGCCUGGAGGUAGUGACGGAUCAUAAAAGUUGUUCGACCUUAUCGGAUUGGUCGGGCAGCGAAGUGGUUCCAGGAAAUAGCUCCUCCGUAUAGACCGUACCCGAAACCGACACGGGUGGACUGGUAGAGCAUACCAAGGCGCUUGAGAGAACUAUGCUGAAGGAACUCGGCAAAUUGCACGCGUAACUUCGGAAGAAGCGUGACCCUUCAACGGGCAACCGUUGGGGGGUGGCACAGACCAGGGGGUAGCGACUGUUUAUCAAAAACACAGGGCUCUGCGAAGUCGCAAGACGACGUAUAGGGUCUGACGCCUGCCCGGUGCUGGAAGGUUAAGAGGAGAGGUGCAAGCUUUGAAUCGAAGCCCCAGUAAACGGCGGCCGUAACAAUAACGGUCCUAAGGUAGCGAAAUUCCUUGUCGGGUAAGUUCCGACCUGCACGAAUGGCGUAACGACUUCCCCGCUGUCUCCAGCAUAGACUCAGUGAAAUUGAAUUCCCCGUGAAGAUGCGGGGUUCCUGCGGUUAGACGGAAAGACCCCGUGCACCUUUACUAUAGCUUUACAUUGGCAUUCGUAGUGGCAUGUGUAGGAUAGGUGGUAGGCUUUGAAGCCGGGACGCCAGUCUCGGUGGAGCCGACCUUGAAAUACCACCCUUAUCUCUAUGGAUGUCUAACCGCGGCCCGUUAUCCGGGUCCGGGACAAUGUAUGGUGGGUAGUUUGACUGGGGCGGUCGCCUCCUC
rnacentral:rRNA from 1 species